AGAGUUUGUAGUCCUGGCUCAGGACGAACGCUGGCGGCGUGCUUAACACAUGCAAGUCGAGCGGAAAGGCUCCUUCGGGGGUACUCGAGCGGCGAACGGGUGAGUAACACGUGAGUAAUCUGCCCUUGGCUUUGGGAUAACUACCGGAAACGGUGGCUAAUACCGGAUACGACCACUCCUUGCAGGAGGUGGUGGUGGAAAGUUUUUUCGGCCAGGGAUGUGCUCGCGGCCUAUCAGCUUGUUGGUGGGGUAAUGGCCUACCAAGGCUUCGACGGGUAGCCGGCCUGAGAGGGUGACCGGCCACACUGGGACUGAGACACGGCCCAGACUCCUACGGGAGGCAGCAGUGGGGAAUAUUGGACAAUGGGCGGAAGCCUGAUCCAGCAACGCCGCGUGAGGGAUGACGGCCUUCGGGUUGUAAACCUCUUUCAGUACCGACGAAGCGCCGAUGAUGGUGGUGACGGUAGGUACAGAAGAAGCACCGGCCAACUACGUG
rnacentral:rRNA from 1 species